rnacentral:rRNA from 1 species
GACAGAGGGUGCAAACGUUGUUCGGAAUUACUGGGCGUAAAGCGCGUGUAGGUGGCGUGGCAAGUCGGGUGUGAAAGCCCUGGGCUCAACCCGGGAAGUGCAUUCGAUACUGCCAAGCUAGAGUCCCGGAGAGGAUGGUGGAACUCUCGGUGUAGAGGUGAAAUUCGUAGAUAUCGAGAAGAACACCAGUGGCGAAGGCGGCUACCUGGACUGACACUGACACUGAGAUACGAAAGCGUGGGGAGCAAACAGG